rnacentral:rRNA from 1 species
AAUAGAUACCCUGGUAGUCCACGCCGUAAACGAUGAGUGCUAAGUGUUGGGGGGUUUCCGCCCCUCAGUGCUGCAGCUAACGCAUUAAGCACUCCGCCUGGGGAGUACGGUCGCAAGACUGAAACUCAAAGGAAUUGACGGGGGCCCGCACAAGCGGUGGAGCAUGUGGUUUAAUUCGAAGCAACGCGAAGAACCUUACCAGGUCUUGACAUCCCGGUGACCACUAUGGAGACAUAGUUUCCCCUUCGGGGGCAACGGUGACAGGUGGUGCAUGGUUGUCGUCAGCUCGUGUCGUGAGAUGUUGGGUUAAGUCCCGCAACGAGCGCAACCCUUAUUCUUAGUUGCCAUCAUUCAGUUGGGCACUCUAAGGAGACUGCCGGUGAUAAACCGGAGGAAGGUGGGGAUGACGUCAAAUCAUCAUGCCCCUUAUGACCUGGGCUACACACGUGCUACAAUGGACGGUACAGACGGUUGCCAACCCGCGAGGGGGAGCUAAUCCGAUAAAACCGUUCUCAGUUCGGAUUGUAGGCUGCAACUCGCCUACA